AGCGGGGUGGGGUAGCCAGGAUAUCCCGCGGGGCUCAUAACCCCGAGAUCGGUUGUUCAAAUCAAUCCCCCGCUACCA
rnacentral:tRNA from 1 species